UCCAAUUUUAGCCAUGCUACUCGCAGGAGUUCAGACUCGUGGCGAAUAGCUCAGUAACACGUGGCCAAACUACCCUUCGGAACACAAUACCCUCGGGAAACUGAGGCUAAUAGUGUAUACCAUACCACCACUGGAAUGAGUGGUAUGUCAAACGCUCCGGCGCCGAAGGAUGUGGCUGCGGCCGAUUAGGUAGACGGUGGGGUAACGGCCCACCGUGCCAAUAAUCGGUACGGGUCAUGAGAGUGAGAACCCGGAGACGGAAUCUGAGACAAGAUUCCGGGCCCUACGGGGCGCAGCAGGCGCGAAACCUUUACACUGCACGACAGUGCGAUAGGGGGAUCCCAAGUGCACAGGCAUAGCGCCUGUGCUUUUCGGUACCGUAAGGUGGUACCAGAAUAAGGGCUGGGCAAGACCGGUGCCAGCCGCCGCGGUAAUACCGGCAGCCCAAGUGAUGGCCGAUCUUAUUGGGCCUAAAGCGUCCGUAGCUGGCCGCGCAAGUCCAUCGGGAAAUCCACCUGCUCAACAGGUGGGCGCCCGGUAGAAACUGCGUGGCUUGGGACCGGAAGGCGCGACGGGUACGUCCGGGGUAGGAGUGAAAUCCCGUAAUCCUGGACGGACCGCCGAUGGCGAAAGCACGUCGCGAGAACNGAUCCGACAGUGAGGGACGAAAGCCAGGGUCUCGAACCGGAUUANAUACCCGGGUAGUCCUGGCGUAAACAAUGUCUGC
rnacentral:rRNA from 1 species